rnacentral:rRNA from 1 species
UACGUAGGUGGCAAGCGUUGUCCGGAAUUAUUGGGCGUAAAGGGCUCGUAGGCGGUCCAUCACGUCGGGAGUGAAAAGCUGGGGCUUAACCCCAGUCCUGCUUCCGAUACGGGUGGACUAGAGGUAGGCAGGGGAGAACGGAAUUCCCAGUGUAGCGGUGAAAUGCGUAGAUAUUGGGAGGAACACCAGUGGCGAAGGCGGCUACCUGGACCGGUUCUGACGCUGAGGCGCGAAAGCGUGGGUAGCAAACAGG